rnacentral:rRNA from 1 species
UGAACGCUGGCGGCGUGCUUAACACAUGCAAGUCGAACGAUGAUCCCAGCUUGCUGGGGGAUUAGUGGCGAACGGGUGAGUAACACGUGAGUAACCUGCCCUUGACUCUGGGAUAAGCCUGGGAAACUGGGUCUAAUACCGGAUAUGACUCCUCAUCGCAUGGUGGGGGGUGGAAAGCUUUUGUGGUUUUGGAUGGACUCGCGGCCUAUCAGCUUGUUGGUGGGGUAAUGGCCUACCAAGGCGACGACGGGUAGCCGGCCUGAGAGGGUGACCGGCCACACUGGGACUGAGACACGGCCCAGACUCCUACGGGAGGCAGCAGUGGGGAAUAUUGCACAAUGGGCGCAAGCCUGAUGCAGCGACGCCGCGUGAGGGAUGACGGCCUUCGGGUUGUAAACCUCUUUCAGUAGGGAAGAAGCGUAAGUGACGGUACCUGCAGAAGAAGCGCCGGCUAACUACGUGCCAGCAGCCGCGGUAAUACGUAGGGCGCAAGCGUUAUCCGGAAUUAUUGGGCGUAAAGAGCUCGUAGGCGGUUUGUCGCGUCUGCUGUGAAAGACCGGGGCUCAACUCCGGUUCUGCAGUGGGUACGGGCAGACUAGAGUGCAGUAGGGGAGACUGGAAUUCCUGGUGUAGCGGUGAAAUGCGCAGAUAUCAGGAGGAACACCGAUGGCGAAGGCAGGUCUCUGGGCUGUAACUGACGCUGAGGAGCGAAAGCAUGGGGAGCGAACAGGAUUAGAUACCCUGGUAGUCCAUGCCGUAAACGUUGGGCACUAGGUGUGGGGGACAUUCCACGUUUUCCGCGCCGUAGCUAACGCAUUAAGUGCCCCGCCUGGGGAGUAC